UUUCUGGAUGGUUCUACUCCAGAAAUUGCCGGACGUUCCGCACGGGGAAACCCUUUCUCGGACAAGGAAAAGAAGCCGCUUUAGGAGCUCAAGCCCAGGUGACCAAAGACUAUUAGGUGAUUUAAAGCGGAGAAGACCAUCCCUCCGUGAGCUGGGACUCUCCUAAUGUGGGUGCUGCUUGGGACCCCAGGCAGACGCAAUGCAACCCAACAGGAGAAAGGAAAGGAGGCCAAGAAGGCAGAGUUCG